GUGGGGAAUAUUGGACAAUGGGCGCAAGCCUGAUCCAGCCAUGCCGCGUGAGUGAUGAAGGCCCUAGGGUUGUAAAGCUCUUUCAGUGGGGACGAUAAUGACGGUACCCACAGAAGAAGCCCCGGCUAACUUCGUGCCAGCAGCCGCGGUAAUACGAAGGGGGCUAGCGUUGUUCGGAUUUACUGGGCGUAAAGCGCACGUAGGCGGAUCGUUAAGUCGAGGGUGAAAUCCUGGAGCUCAACUCCAGAACUGCCUUCGAUACUGGCGAUCUUGAGUCCGGAAGAGGUGAGUGGAACUCCUAGUGUAGAGGUGGAAUUCGUAGAUAUUAGGAAGAACACCAGUGGCGAAGGCGGCUCACUGGUCCGGUACUGACGCUGAGGUGCGAAAGCGUGGGGAGCGAACAGGAUUAGAUACCCGUGUAGUCC
rnacentral:rRNA from 1 species